GGUCGGGUGGCGCAAUUGGUAGCGCGUUACUUUCCGGUUGAAAUUUGAACUGAACUUUGUGAAGUCUAUAACAUUCUCAGUUGGUAAAGGUUCUGGGUUCGAGUCCCAGCUCGAUCG